UCAGAAGGGGGCGGGGGCGGGUGGGCUCGUAUUUCGAGCGCGACCCCUCAGUCUCUGCGUAGGGGGGAGGGGUUGCACGACGGGGUGACAGCUGCGCGGUUGACACCCCUCCCCCUUGGGCGCAGGGGGCGGGGGCCCCGCGAGCCCCCCCACGGAGAUCUGAGUACCGAUAAGGACGCGGUGGCAGGUGGACCAGGGGGUCCGUUUGGAAGCGUCUGUCCUGAGCCGCGAGAGGUCAGGAGACAAGACGCGGGUUCGGAGAUGUGCCAGCCCCCUCCCCGCCCGGGGGCGACGCAAAGUUUUGGGAAGUUGCUGCCCCUACCUUGCUUGGAAUGCUGACUGCACCACUGCCACUGCCGUUGGGAAGCCUUCCAGAUGCCCACUCUCAUCUGAGGGUGUUGCCUACUCUCAUCUACAAACUCUGCUGGAGCACCUUGUCUGGGUUUCUGAGUCUGUUUGUCUAUUGGAUUCCCAACUAGAAGGUUAAGUCUCUCUGCCUG